AUUGAACGCUGGCGGCAGGCCUAACACAUGCAAGUCGAACGAGUGGCGGACGGGUGAGUAAUGUCUGGGAAUCUGCCUGAUGGAGGGGGAUAACUACUGGAAACGGUAGCUAAUACCGCAUACCAUCAGCUGUGCCCAGAUGGGAUUAGCUAGUUGGUGGGGUAACGGCUCACCAAGACGACGAUCCCUAGCUGGUCUGAGGUGAUGACCAGGCACACUUGGACGGAGACACGGUCCAGACUCCUACGGGAGGCAGCAGUGGGGAAUAUUGCACAAUGGGCGCAAGCCUGAUGCAGCCAUGCCGCGUGUAUGAAGAAGGCCUUCGGGUUGUAAAGUACUUUCAGCGGGGGGGCGUUACCCGCAGAAGAAGCACCGGCUAACUCCGUGCCAGCCGCCGCGGUAAUUC
rnacentral:rRNA from 1 species